rnacentral:rRNA from 1 species
UACGGGGGGGGGUAAGCGUUGUUCGGAAUUACUGGGCGUAAAGCGCACGUAGGUGGCUUUGUAAGUUAGAGGUGAAAGCCCGGGGCUCAACUCCGGAAUUGCCUUUAAGACUGCAUCGCUAGAACGUCGGAGAGGUAAGUGGAAUUCCGAGUGUAGAGGUGAAAUUCGUAGAUAUUCGGAAGAACACCAGUGGCGAAGGCGACUUACUGGACGACUGUUGACACUGAGGUGCGAAAGCGUGGGGAGCAAACAGG